UGAGGAAUAUUGGUCAAUGGACGCAAGUCUGAACCAGCCAAGUAGCGUGCAGGAUGACGGCCCUAUGGGUUGUAAACUGCUUUUAUAUGGGGAUAAAGUGGGGAACGUGUUCCCUUUUGCAGGUACCAUAUGAAUAAGGACCGGCUAAUUCCGUGCCAGCAGCCGCGGUAAUACGGAAGGUUCGGGCGUUAUCCGGAUUUAUUGGGUUUAAAGGGAGCGUAGGCCGUUUGGUAAGCGUGUUGUGAAAUGUAGGAGCUCAACUUCUAGAUUGCAGCGCGAACUGUCAGACUUGAGUGCGCACAACGUAGGCGGAAUUCAUGGUGUGGCGGUGAAAUGCUUAGGUAUCAUGAAGAACUCCGAUUGCGGAGGCAGCUUACGGGAGCGCAACUGACGCUGAAGCUCGAAGGUGCGGGUAUCGAACAGG
rnacentral:rRNA from 1 species